GUGAUCUGAAUGAGUAAUCCCUGACAUUUGUUUUUGGGCAGGUGGCUCUGGCACACCCUGACUCCUACAUUCAAAUACAGGAAGGGACACGGACAACACCUCAUUUCAUGGAGCUGAACAGGAGCACCAUCCCCUCAGCUUGUGCCCUAUGGAAACACACCGGCAGCCUGGCAGAUGGGAUGUCUGGGGUUAGGUUUGGAUGCCUGCAGAGAGGGGAGGGAAGAGAAGGAACCACAUUCUGCUUGGCUGAACAAUCAGUUGGGUUAAAAACACCACCUUGGCCGCACGGCAUUCCCAAUGGCAUAUGGGAAGUGCUUUGCAAUGGAAGAGUGCCUGGAGGUCGACUUGAAGGCAAGAGAAGAACACCCCUUCACCAUCAACUCUUGGUUGCCCACAGCCUCUACUCUUCAGCGCACCUUAAGUGUAUAUCUACACUGUUGAAUCCUAACAUCAAACCUGAAUCCAACAGGAAUUCCACCUUUGUUGCGCCGGAGCCGGUUUCGCCCCGGCCGCUCCCAAAUCCCGAGGACACACCUGUUAAUAGCUAGAGGGAAGGAGAUUGGUUGGGUGGAAGGAAUGCACCUGCGCAGGGAGGGGUGAAGGACUACAUGUAAGACGAGCCCCAGACACCCGCCGUCUCUUCUCAAUUCCAGCUUCAACAAGCCACAGCGCUCUGGGGCUGCGAAGGGAAAACCACGCGCCUUUUCCUCCUUUGCUUUUCCCUGUUUGGGCUGAAGCUCUUUGUUUCGGGCUCUAACGCAUCUCAGGCACGUGUUGCUUUUUUUCCAGGUCCACUUCUAUUUUUGCCUGCCUUUGUUGACCACGAAGAGCUCUUUCGCUCCAAGCUCGUCUUUUCCAGGACACGGGAAGAUCGGAAGAGGGAAAACUCUUCUUGUGCGCGCUCUCCUGCCGAUCCUUUUUGUUACCCGCUUUGAAGCUGUCUUGGUUUGGGAGAAGGUGGUUGUGCUCCCUGCACUGAAGUUGCUUUGCGUGUGUGUGUGGUCAUGGUCCUGUGAAUUAAAACAACACAGGAAGUUGUACUUCCCAGUUAUCGGAUGUGAAAGAAUGAUUUAUAACAGCUCUCACUGAGAAAGGGGAUUAUUGCUGGUUUUAUCUGACACAGCUUAAGGGGCAGGUGGUUCAGUGUACCUGGCAGGUGUGAAGCAGCAAAAGGCACCAGCAUCCUCCUCCUGUCACCCCCCUUGCCCUGGGCUCUCUUACUGAUCUAUGGGGUGCUGGGGUUUUAAUUACUUGCACUGAGAAGGUCGGUUGUUUCCUUGAGCCCUCUUCUGAAGCAUCAGCUGAAUGAUUCACUGGGGUGGAGCGUGGAUGAAAUGUACUCCUUUGUCAUUUACUUUGAUAGAGAGGUUGUAUAUCUGCUGUGCUGGAGCCACAAAGCCUGUGAGUACCUUAUGGCUAUGCUAAAUAUUACAUGCAGUAUAGCAUUACCUACACGGUAUAGCUCAGAUCAGAGCUCUCUUAAGCUGUCACGAAUUGAGAGGCCAUUGCUACCCCGAGAGAUAAGACUCACACUAAGGGGUGAAGGAAGACCAAGGAAAUGCUGCUGCCUCCUUCCUGGGUGAUGCAGCAGGUCAGUAACCCCCAGUCCUUGGAGUUAACAACAGCCCCACUUAGAACAGCACAGAGCUCUUACCAAGGGAACCGCUCCAGGGUGGGCAGCCUGCGCUAUGAUUUCUACCUUCUAUUGCAUGAGGUGCUCCAGCAAACUUCCUCUUCUUCUGAAAAGCACAAACCAGACAGAUAGCUUAUCAUCGUUAUCAUUAGCAUUCACUGUGCUUAAUUACAUUACUAAUAACUACACCAAAGUCUCCUGCCACUGUCACUUCUAUUUAAGACUCAAAUUUGUCUGCAUCCCUGCAACUGAAGCCAAUACAAUAAAGGAUUUGUUGCAAAAGCA